CUUUAGCCGUCACCCUUUUGUACUUGAGAGUAGAUGAUGUAUAGGGUGAGGUGGAGUGAUUGUAUUUAUAUUUUGGAAGAAUGUAAAGACGUAAUUGAAUGUAUUAAGUCAAAUGAAUGUAAUAGAUAGCUUCUUCUCUCUUUAUGUACUUGUAUAUGUUUCUAUACUUGUAUCUUGCUCUUGGUUGUCGCACUAGUGGUGCUUCUUGAUCGUGUAUUUAUGAAUUGAAUUUCUGGGUAAAUUCUUAUACAUGAUCUGUUGGUUGCCUUGGGCGGACAGGGGAGGUCCUGUCCGUCCGGCGUCUGUUCGACGCGCCCGGGCCGGACCAAAUUGGUAGCGGUCGCGGGGCGUGACAGAUAAAGUGGUAUCAGAGCACCAGAGCAAGUAAAGAGAGAGUCUAGGAUG
rnacentral:lncRNA from 1 species